rnacentral:lncRNA from 1 species
UGUGAGGGUGCAAAGUGGGGGGUGCACAGAGUGUGGGUGCAAAGUGGGGGGGUGCACAGAGUGGGGGUGCACACAGGGAGGUGCAGAGUGAUGGUGUGCACAGAGUUGGGGGUGCACAGAGUUGGGGGUGCAAAGUGUGGGGGUGCACAGGGAGCCCUGCCCCCAUGCAUGCGGCUGCUGCCUGGUGCAGCUGCAGCUUUGCUUGCACGGACCCCACUGCCAUGGGGAAAGGCUGCACACAGUGCUGACCUGCAGAGCUCACAGCUGCGAGCUCCCAUCCCUGCUGCAGCCCAUGGCUGCUCAUUGCACGGCUGCUCAUUGCACGGCUGCUCACUGCACUGCUGCUCACUGCACUGCUGCUCCUCACUGCACUGCUUCUCAUUGCUCUGCUCCUCAUUGCGCUGCUCCUUACUGCACUGCUUAUUAAGCUGCUCCUCAUUGCACUGCUCACUGCACUGCUCCUCAUGCUGCUGCUUACUGCACUGCUCCUUACUGCACUGCUCAUUGUGCUGCUCAUUGCACUGUUGCUCAUUGCACUGCCCCUUACUGCACUGCCCUUUACUGCACUGCUCCUUAUUGCACUGCUCACUGCGCUGCUCCUUACUGCACUGCUCCUUACUGCACUGCUGCUCACUGCACUGCUCCUUACUGCACUGCUCACUGCACUGCUCCUUACUGCACUGCUCAUUGCACUGCUGCUCAUUGCACUGCUGCUCAUUGCACUGCUCACUGCACUGCUCCUUACUGCACUGCUCCUUAUUGCACUGCUUACUGCACUGCUCCUUACUGCACUGCUCACUGUGCUGCUCCUUACUGCGCUGCCCCCUAUUGCACGGCUCACCUUGACGAGCGCGGAGUGCAGGUACAUGUUGUGGGGCAUGAUGACGGCCCCCACGAUGCCCACAGCCUGCUCCAGCUGUGGGGUGCCGCAGCCCGGGCACUCGGGGACAAACAGCCCCCGCAGCAGCUGCUUCUGGUUCGGCUUCACCGUCACGUACUGCGGGCAGAAAGCAACGCUGCGCUCAGCCCUGUGCCCAGUGCCCAGCCCUGUGCCCAGCCCUGUGUUCAGUUCUAUGCCCAGCCCUGUGCCCAGCCCUGUGUUCAGUUCUAUGCCCAGCCCUGUGCCCAGCCCUGUGCUCAGCCCUGUGCCCACCUCUGUGCCCUGAUCUUUACCCAGCUCUGUGCCCAGCACUGCUCAGCUCUGUGCCCUGCUCUUUGCCCAGCCCUGUGCCCAGCCCUGUGCUCAGCUCUCUGCUCAGCUCUCUGCU